GACGAACGCUGGCGGCGUGCUUAACACAUGCAAGUCGAACGGAAAGGCCUGCUUUCCCUUGUGGUUUGCGGGUACUCGGGUGGCGAACGGGUGAGUAACACGUGAGUGAUCUGCCCCCAACUUGGGUAUAAGCCUGGGAAACUGGGUCUAAUUCCCGAUAGGACUGCAGGGUGGUGCCUGUGGUGGCAAACGUUUUUCUAGUGGUUGGGGAUGAGCCCGCGGCCUAUCAGCUUGUUGGAGGGGUAGUGGCCUACCAAGGCGGCGAGGGGUAGCCGGAGUGGGAGGGUGGACGGCGACAUUGAGACUGGGACACGACCCAGACGCGAGCGGGCAGCAGGGGUGGUGACUAAUGCGCAGUGAGCGGGAGGCUGCUGCAGCGAGGCAGUGUGGAGGAUGUCCGGCUUCGGGUUGUAUGCUCCUUGCGAAGAAGAGGAGGCCACCUGGUUGGAAGGGUGGUGACGGUAGUGGUAGAAGAAGCCCCGGCUAACUACGUG
rnacentral:rRNA from 1 species